ensembl:lncRNA LIMS1-AS1 LIMS1 antisense RNA 1
AGGUGAUGUCUGCAGGGAGCCAUGAAUCAUGCUGAAAACAGGAUUGUUCAAAACUUUGCCAGGAAGUCUCUGGCAGAAGUGUGUUAGCGAGUCUUAGCAAACACAGCUGCUUCCUUUCUGUUCCAAUCAAUCAGCCCAGCCUAAUUACCACAGUACAAGGGUGAGGAGGGAAGGAAAUUGUAAUUCACAGUGAUGUUAUCAGCCAGCACCAUGCCUGGGAGAUCACCAGGGCAGGAGAGGUAUAAAAUGCUCCAGGGGCAAGGUUCUGAGAAGAUGCCCUGCCACUGUAUGAGGCCACAACCUGCUGUGUAUAACCUCAUCUAAGCACAGAGAAGCACCAGACUGAGCUUGGGAAAUGAUAAAGCAAACUGUGGACUUGAAUGAAAGACAUACAGGUAUUCUUUGUAUAUUUUAUAGUUAGCUUCUGAGUCUGAAAUUAUUUCCCAAAUAAAAAGUUAAAAACAAAUCUCUACUGAA